ACGGGUGAGUAAUAUAUCGGAACGUGCCCUAGAGUGGGGGAUAACUAGUCGAAAGACUAGCUAAUACCGCAUACGAUCUACGGAUGAAAGUGGGGGAUCGCAAGACCUCAUGCUCCUGGAGCGGCCGAUAUCUGAUUAGCUAGUUGGUGGGGUAAAAGCCUACCAAGGCAACGAUCAGUAGCUGGUCUGAGAGGACGACCAGCCACACUGGGACUGAGACACGGCCCAGACUCCUACGGGAGGCAGCAGUGGGGAAUUUUGGACAAUGGGGGCAACCCUGAUCCAGCAAUGCCGCGUGAGUGAAGAAGGCCUUCGGGUUGUAAAGCUCUUUUGUCAGGGAAGAAACGGUGGUAGCGAAUAACUACUACUAAUGACGGUACCUGAAGAAUAAGCACCGGCUAACUACGUGCCAGCAGCCGCGGUAAUACGUAGGGUGCAAGCGUUAAUCGGAAUUACUGGGCGUAAAGCGUGCGCAGGCGGUUGUGUAAGUCAGAUGUGAAAUCCCCGGGCUCAACCUGGGAAUUGCAUUUGAGACUGCACGGCUAGAGUGUGUCAGAGGGGGGUAGAAUUCCACGUGUAGCAGU
rnacentral:rRNA from 1 species